rnacentral:rRNA from 1 species
GACGAACGCUGGCGGCGUGCUUAACACAUGCAAGUCGAACGGAAAGGCCCUGCUUUUGUGGGGUGCUCGAGUGGCGAACGGGUGAGUAACACGUGAGUAACCUGCCCUUGACUUUGGGAUAACUUCAGGAAACUGGGGCUAAUACCGGAUAGGAGCUCCUGCUGCAUGGUGGGGGUUGGAAAGUUUCGGCGGUUGGGGAUGGACUCGCGGCUUAUCAGCUUGUUGGUGGGGUAGUGGCUUACCAAGGCUUUGACGGGUAGCCGGCCUGAGAGGGUGACCGGCCACAUUGGGACUGAGAUACGGCCCAGACUCCUACGGGAGGCAGCAGUGGGGAAUAUUGCACAAUGGGCGGAAGCCUGAUGCAGCAACGCCGCGUGCGGGAUGACGGCCUUCGGGUUGUAAACCGCUUUCGCCUGUGACGAAGCGUGAGUGACGGUAAUGGGUAAAGAAGCACCGGCUAACUACGUGCCAGCAGCCGCGGUGAUACGUAGGGUGCGAGCGUUGUCCGGAUUUAUUGGGCGUAAAGGGCUCGUAGGUGGUUGAUCGCGUCGGAAGUGUAAUCUCGGGGCUUAACCCUGAGCGUGCUUUCGAUACGGGUUGACUUGAGGAAGGUAGGGGAGAAUGGAAUUCCUGGUGGAGCGGUGGAAUGCGCAGAUAUCAGGAGGAACACCAGUGGCGAAGGCGGUUCUCUGGGCCUUUCCUGACGCUGAGGAGCGAAAGCGUGGGGAGCGAACAGGCUUAGAUACCCUGGUAGUCCACGCUGUAAACGGUGGGUACUAGGUGUGGGGUCCAUUCCACGGGUUCCGUGCCGUAGCUAACGCUUUAAGUACCCCGCCUGGGGAGUACGGCCGCAAGGCUAAAACUCAAAGGAAUUGACGGGGCCCCGCACAAGCGGCGGAGCAUGCGGAUUAAUUCGAUGCAACGCGUAGAACCUUACCUGGGUUUGACAUGGAUCGGGAGUGCUCAGAGAUGGGUGUGCCUCUUUUGGGGUCGGUUCACAGGUGGUGCAUGCCUGUCGUCAGCUCGUGUCGUGAGAUGUUGGGUUAAGUCCCGCAACGAGCGCAACCCUUGUUCACUGUUGCCAGCACGUUAUGGUGGGGACUCAGUGGAGACCGCCGGGGUCAACUCGGAGGAAGGUGGGGAUGACGUCAAGUCAUCAUGCCCCUUAUGUCCAGGGCUUCACGCAUGCUACAAUGGCUGGUACAGAGAGUGGCGAGCCUGUGAGGGUGAGCGAAUCUCGGAAAGCCGGUCUCAGUUCGGAUUGGGGUCUGCAACUCGACCUCAUGAAGUCGGAGUCGCUAGUAAUCGCAGAUCAGCAACGCUGCGGUGAAUACGUUCCCGGGGCU